CCCGCCCGCUGGCGGCAUGCCUAACACAUGCAAGUCGAACGAGACCUUCGGGUCUAGUGGCGCACGGGUGCGUAACGCGUGGGAACCUGCCCUUAGGUUCGGAAUAACUCCCCGAAAGGGGUGCUAAUACCGGAUAAUGUCUUCGGACCAAAGAUUUAUCGCCUUUGGAUGGGCCCGCGUUGGAUUAGCUAGUUGGUAGGGUAAAAGCCUACCAAGGCGACGAUCCAUAGCUGGUCUGAGAGGAUGAUCAGCCACACUGGGACUGAGACACGGCCCAGACUCCUACGGGAGGCAGAAGUGGGGAAUAUUGGACAAUGGGCGAAAGCCUGAUCCAGCAAUGCCGCGUGAGUGAUGAAGGCCUUAGGGUUGUAAAGCUCUUUUACCCGGGAUGAUAAUGACAGUACCGGGAGAAUAAGCUCCGGCUAACUCCGUG
rnacentral:rRNA from 1 species